GAUGGGUCACAGCACCAGGUCCUGCCAGAGAAAGGAAGCAAAAAUGUUGGACCAGAGAUCCUGAUGUAUCUUUCUUCAGUUCCCAAAGCUGCCACACGUUAAAGUUCAGACUGAGAAGGCAUCCACCAAUUGUAAACAAUGUUCAAGAAGUCUGUUCUGAUGACUCUCUGUGCUACUUUGUAUGUUUUUUUCCUGCUCUUAAGUGCCUAUAUGGGAGGGGGGAGGAUGGAG
rnacentral:lncRNA from 10 species